AUUGAACGCUGGCGGCAGGCCUAACACAUGCAAGUCGAGCGGACGAAGGAAGCCUUCUCUUGCAUUCAGCGGAGGACGGGUGUGUAAUGCCUAGGAAUCUGCCUGGUUGUGGGGCAUAACAUCCGGAAACGGCCGCUAAUAACGCAUACGACCUGAGCGUGAAAUUGAGUGUUCUUCGGUCAUCACGCUAUCAGAUGAGCCUCGGUCGGAUCAGCUAGUUGGUAGGGUAAAUGCCUACCAAGGCGACGAUCCGUAACUGGUCUGAGAGGAUGAUCAGUCACACUGGAACUGGGACACGGUCCAGACUCCUACGGGAGGCAGCAGUGGGGAAUUUUGGGCAAUGGGCGAAAGCCUGACGCAGCAAUGCCGCGGGUGUGAGGAAGGUCUUCGGAUGGUAAAGCACUUUAAGUUGGGAGGAAGGGAAGUAAGGUGACACGUUGACAUUUUGACGGUACCUACAGAGAAAGCAACGGCUAACUACGUG
rnacentral:rRNA from 1 species